rnacentral:rRNA from 1 species
UGGCGGACGGGUGAGUAAUGUCUGGGAAACUGCCCGAUGGAGGGGGAUAACUACUGGAAACGGUAGCUAAUACCGCAUAACGUCGCAAGACCAAAGAGGGGACCUUCGGGCCUCUUGCCAUCGGAUGUGCCCAGAUGGGAUUAGCUUGUAGGUAAGGUAACGGCUUACCUAGGCGACGAUCCCUAGCUGGUCUGAGAGGAUGAUCAGCCACACUGGGACUGAGACACGGCCCAG